AUUGAACGCUGGCGGCAGGCUUAACACAUGCAAGCCGAGCGGAGUGAUGGUGCUUGCACUAUCACUUAGCGGCGGACGGGUGAGUAAUGCUUAGGAAUCUGCCUAUUAGUGGGGGACAACAUCUCGAAAGGGAUGCUAAUACCGCAUACGUCCUACGGGAGAAAGCAGGGGAUCACUUGUGACCUUGCGCUAAUAGAUGAGCCUAAGUCGGAUUAGCUAGUUGGUGGGGUAAAGGCCUACCAAGGCGACGAUCUGUAGCGGGUCUGAGAGGAUGAUCCGCCAGACUGGGCCUGAGACACGGCACAGACUCCUACGGGAGGCAGCAGUGGGGAAUAUUGGACAAUGGGGGGAACCCUGAUCCAGCCAUGCCGCGUGUGUGAAGAAGGCCUUAUGGUUGUAAAGCACAUUAAGCGAGGAGGAGGCUCUUUUGGUUAAUACCCAAGAUGAGUGGACGUUACUCGCAGAAUAAGCACCGGCUAACUCUGUGCCAGCAGCCGCCGUAA
rnacentral:rRNA from 1 species